UCCUACGGGAGGCAGCAGUAGGGAAUAUUGCUCAAUGGGGGAAACCCUGAAGCAGCAACGCCGCGUGGUGGAUGAAGGUUUUAGGAUUGUAAACUCCUUUUGUUAGAGAAGAUUAUGACGGUAUCUAACGAAUAAGCACCGGCUAACUCCGUGCCAGCAGCCGCGGUAAUACGGAGGGUGCAAGCGUUACUCGGAAUCACUGGGCGUAAAGAGUGCGUAGGCGGGGUAAUAAGUCAGAUGUGAAAUCCUGUAGCUUAA
rnacentral:rRNA from 1 species